AGGAAGUUGCAACUAACUGUAUGUAUUCUCCUGCUCAGGUCACAGACAACUGUACCCUUCUGAAGGAAAAAUAUGAUUCAUUUUCCACAAAGGAAUAUCUCAUCAAAGAAGGAAAUUUGAGCACGGGAGCUGUUGAGAUGAUUGGUGAUUUCUUGAAUGAAGAAGCUGGAUUUCAUAACUCAUUCCUUAUUUCUGUUA